rnacentral:piRNA from 1 species
UUCUCAGAACUAGUGUAUAUUUGGCCAAA